AAGCAUUCCUGCACUGAAAGGCCAAGGGAUAGCUCGUUAAAGAAGGGCCGGAAACUGCUUAGUUCCACUUACUUGAUUUGAUUCCUCUCUGGGAAGGAAGAUGACAGAUUCGGGUCCUCAGGAGGAGGGGUUCCUACGGGGAUACUCUACCUCUUGACCCUGUCCUCAGCGUGCCUUCUCCUCUCAACAUCAUGGGCUCUUUUGUGGGGUUUCCAGACAGGGUUUCUGUGUAGUUCCGAGUCCUGCAACUCACUCUGUAGGCCAGGCUGACCACAAACUCAGAGAUGUCUCUCCCUCUGGAGUGUGGGAUUAAAGGCGUCUGCCACCACCCCUGCCACCGCCACAGGCUUCCCCAUGUUCUUGACCAGCCCCUUUCUUCCACGCCCUCAGUCAGCCUCAGGAAGCCCCGUCUCUUUCCCUCAGUGCACAGCAUCCCUUUUCUUUCCCUCUUGGUCUCUUCACUGUAUGCAGCUAGCAUCUUCCCCAACCUUCCACAGUAGACUCAGGGUGCGGGGCCUCUCUUGGGUCAUGGUGGGCUCUUGUUCCCUUCUUGUGGGAUGGACUUUGACCUCUGGCUGUCCCCUGGAUCUUGGGUGGAAGCAAGAGUGCCUGGGGUGGAGGUUCUCCUCUGGGUCCUUACUAGCCCCUCCCCCACACUUCCAUUCGCUCUUUCAUUCCAAGCACACAUUUGGUAAAUGGUCUGGGUGCCCACUUGGAGGGGCCACAGGAAGAAAUGUUAGGACCGCACCCACUUGCCAAGAUUUUUACUUCGAUUGCUACACUGACUUCAAUCCCCGAAGCUUCCCUAUAUGCUUUUUUGACCAAGCGGAGCCUGACGAGGUGGGGGAGGGGGAGAGAUGGAGCGGGUAUUUUCCUUUUCUAAUUUCCAGUUACUCUUUAAGACACAGGCUGCAACGCUUUUCUGUCUCCCAAACCUCCCCCAAAGCCACUCUGUGCGUGGCCACUAGGACCCCUGCAAACACUCGAGUUGCUAAACUUUUAAACGUGCUAUUGCCACGAAGCCCUCGAUUCAAUUCCUGGUGGAUUAGAGCCAUUGAGUUUCUUUCCUAUCAAUUGCUGAAUUCCACACAAUCCUCUUCAGAAACCGUUUGCUUCACAUGCUCAAUCCAGAGGCAUGCAGGACCCCAACUGCAAAGUCGGAGUCCAGAAGUGCCUCCGGGGAAGGUUGCAGACAAAGCCCGACUUCUGACCAGCAGUGUUACUUUAAUUAUUGCAAAU
rnacentral:lncRNA from 1 species